GUGCAGUGCUGGCUGGGCUCUGACCUGCUGUGUGUAGCAGGGAGGGAGGUGAGGGGUUAACUGACAGCCUCAGAGUGGCCAAUCACUUCUAGGUUUUACUUUCAUUUCUCAAUUCUUCCGCUCGGAGCCCGGUUCAGAUCUGGUGACUGGCUGGUAACCAGCAACUGUGGAGUUUAAGGCGGAGACACUGGUCGAGGAGCCAUCGGGAAGAUUGGAGCAAAAGUCAACCCUUCACCUGACUCCCACGGGACUGAUGGAUCGCUGGGUGUUUGCAGGAAUGGGCUACAGUGAGGAAGAGGAUGAAGAUGAUGACGAUGAUGAUGAAGACUAUGGGUCGGGGGAUGAGUG